rnacentral:rRNA from 1 species
CCUACGGGUGGCAGCAGUGGGGAAUAUUGGUCAAUGGACGAGAGUCUGAACCAGCCAAGUAGCGUGAAGGAUGACUGCCCUAUGGGUUGUAAACUUCUUUUAUAUGGGAAUAAAAUGUUCCACGUGUGGUCUUUUGUAUGUACCCUAUGAAUAAGGAUCGGCUAACUCCGUGCCAGCAGCCGCGGUAAUACGGGGGAUCCGAGCGUUAUCCGGAUUUAUUGGGUGUAAAGGGAGCGUAGGUGGAUUGUUAAGUCAGUUGUGAAAGUUUGCGGCUCAACCGUAAAAUUGCAGUUGAAACUGGCAGUCUUGAGUAAAGUAGAGGUGGGCGGAAUUCGUGGUGUAGCGGUGAAAUGCUUAGAUAUCACGAAGAACUCCGAUUGCGAAGGCAGUUCACUGGACUGCAACUGACACUGAGGCGCGAAAGUGUGGGUAGCAAACAGGAUUAGAUACCCGUGUAGUC